AACGCUAGCUACAGGCUUAACACAUGCAAGUCGAGGGGUUUGCUUCGGCAAACGACCGGCGCACGGGUGAGUAACGCGUAUCCAACCUGCCUCUCUCAUUGGGAUAGCCCUCCGAAAGGAGGAUUAAUACCGAAUAACAUAAUGUGUUUGCAUGAAUUCAUUAUGAAAGCUCCGGCGGAGAGAGAUGGGGAUGCGUUUCAUUAGGUAGUAGGCGGGGUAACGGCCCACCUAGCCAACGAUGAAUAGGGGUUCUGAGAGGAAGGUCCCCCACACUGGAACUGAGACACGGUCCAGACUCCUACGGGAGGCAGCAGUGAGGAAUAUUGGUCAAUGGGCGCAAGCCUGAACCAGCCAAGUAGCGUGAAGGAUGACUGCCCUAUGGGUUGUAAACUUCUUUUAUAUGGGAACAAAUGUUGGUACGUGUACUAAUUUGCGUGUACCAUAUGAAUAAGCAUCGGCUAACUCCGUGCCAGCAGCCGCGGUAAUACGGAGGAUGCGAGCGUUAUCCGGAUUUAUUGGGUUUAAAGGGAGCGUAGGUGGUUUGUUAAGCCAGCUGUGAAAUACUGUAGCUCAACUACAGCCGUGCAGUUGGAACUGGCAGACUUGAGUGUACAAGAGGAAGGUGGAAUUCGUGGUGUAGCGGUGAAAUGUUUAGAUAUCACGAAGAACUCCGAUUG
rnacentral:rRNA from 1 species